rnacentral:rRNA from 1 species
CCCAAGGGUUGGGCUGUUCGCCCAUUAAAGCGGUACGCGAGCUGGGUUCAGAACGUCGUGAGACAGUUCGGUCCCUAUCCGUCGUGGGCGUAGGAAAUUUGAGAGGAGCUGUCCUUAGUACGAGAGGACCGGGAUGGACAUACCUCUGGUGUACCAGUUGUCGUGCCAACGGCAUAGCUGGGUAGCUAUGUGUGGACGGGAUAAGUGCUGAAAGCAUCUAAGCAUGAAGCCCCCCUCAAGAUGAGAUUUCCCAACUUCGGUUAUAAGAUCCCUCAAAGAUGAUGAGGUUAAUAGGUUCGAGGUGGAAGCAUGGUGACAUGUGGAGCUGACGAAUACUAAUCGAUCGAAGACUUAAUCAAAA